UCAUUAUAUUAUAUUAUUGUUAUCUCAUUAUAUUAAUUUAUUGUUAUUUAAACUGACUUUUUGUCCCAUGGUUGAGUACUAUAACAGAUUGUAUUUCAGAUUAGAAAGUUAUGGUGUAAAGCUGUUGGUCGAGGUGAUUUGGAAAACAUACAAGAUAGGAAGACAAGGCAUACAUUUAGAGUAUGUGCAAGGCAUUUUGCGGAUGAUGGAUUCUUUCCCACAAAAAAUAACAGAACUAACUUGAAAUUAAAUGCAGUACCAACUUUAUUCCUUAAAGGGACAACUUCAAGCAUAGACUUUCCUAAGAUUGUUUUGGAAGAUGAGCAUGCCAGAAAGGUUAGCAGUAAAGACAGUGACACCUAUAAAGCCACACUGUCCUUGCCUGAUACUCUUCAUGUUCCAAGAACAAUAAUAUACAAAAAUAUAUUUUAGGUAAAGAUUUAAAGAAACACAUGACAUAUUUAUUUAAAAGAAAACUCUACAGCC